rfam:Corynebacterium falsenii DSM 44353 strain BL 8171, complete genome.
GAUCAGAGAGUGUGCGCAGGCCCUUACCUGCGUGGACGACGUGGUGACUUGAUGUACUUCCCCAAUAUCAAGCCCGCACCCACGCAGGUGAGGCCCUGUCCGCACUCUCUUUGCUUUUCU